rnacentral:misc_RNA from 1 species
AACGCACAUUGCGCCCGCCAGCACUCUGGCGGGCAUGCCUGUCCGAGCGUCACGUCCGACCCCUCAAGCGCCCGCUUGGUGUUGGGGGACGGCGGCGCGCCCCACGCCGGGCGCCGCCGCCGCCCCCGAAAUGCAUCGGCGGCCCGCGCCCGCGGCCUCCCCCUGCGCAGUAGCACGCACGCUCGCACCGGGAGCCCGGCCGGGUCACUGCCGCGAAGAGUAUCAGUCAGAACGACGCGAAGGGAUGACCUCGGAUCAGGCAGGGUUACCCGCUGAACUUAA